GAUUGAUCUUUGGGGUUAAAUAAGAGCACUUUUCACUAUAUGAGUCAUCCGUGCAUGGCUCUGUAGGACCCAGAGGACUUCACCCACACCUGCUUGUCAGGACAGUGCCCUCAGAGCCUCCGGAGGCCACGGUCCAGCCUCACAGAGGAACCAGCUUCUGUCGUAGAGGGGGUUACAGCAGGGAUAGGAGGAGCUUUCCAUGAGAGCUGAUCAGAGCUCUGGGGAGUGCAGAGGGGCUCCGUGCCUGAGUCCACAUAUAAGCUGAGGUGAGAAGCUCAAGUCGGAGCCUGGCUUGGGGACUGUAAUUGCAGACUUUCCUCCCCUCCAGACUCUCCUACACAUGGGUAAUCUCAGAGCACUGGAGGAGACUCACAGCCGACCUCCCAACACCCACUUCCUUUCAUGUUCCCUCACUUUGCUCAUUUUCCUGAGGAACAACUGACUUUUUAAGAAAGACAGGGACAUGGUCAGGCCUGGA
rnacentral:lncRNA from 1 species